rnacentral:lncRNA from 1 species
AAAUGCUAUAAUAGAGUUCUCCAGUCUGAGGUCAGCGAAAGCUUCUCAAAGGAGAUGAUGCCUGGCUAAAGGGACUUUCUUUCUGAGAAAGGGAUCAGCAUGUGCAAAGAUGAAGAGGCAUAAGGACUGACCAGUGGGUCACGGCAAUGAGACAUUUACUGCUGACCUCCAAGAGAAGACUUCCAUUGAAUGAGAGGAAGAUCUACACUACUAAUGAUCAAACUGUGAGUGUUUUAGCUUUGUAGACUUAUCAGGAACUUGGGAGAUCAAGAAGACAGGAUCAAACAGCAAAUGGAGCUUUAUCAGAAAUGAAGAAAAGCAUUUCUCCACAGUCCUAAGCUAAACCCUUUCUGCUAGUCCCAGUUCUUAUAUGUGCAUCAAGGCAAAAAAACAUUAAUCAGAACAGGAAUGUUUGAUUGCUCAUUCAAAUUUGAAAUAAGCAGCUUCCAUUCUUCUAACCUUCCCUGGUGGGGCCAUAACAUUAUCAAUCAAUAUCAAGUCUGGCAUAUCAUUGGCUAUCACUAUCCAGUGAGUAUCUGAGGCAGCUGAAAGAAAUUGGGGCAUCCAUGUAAGAAUAUUCAUUUUCUAUCAUUAUUUACUUAAAUAUGUAAUAUAUCAAGAUCUGUUAGACAUAUUUAAGUAUAUAUACUUAUAUGAGGUUGGGGGUCCCUGCAAGAAGUACCAAGUGUUUCUAGAAGAAAUGUACUUGAAUAUAAUCGCUGUAUAAUCACUGUGAGAACAGAGUUCCAUAUCUGUCCUGUACAUGCUUGUCUCUAGUACCUGGAGCAGUAUCUGACACAGAUAUGUGUUGAGUGAAUGGAUGAAUAAAUAGAUAGAAGGAAGAUCCUCCAACUAUGAAGUUUCUUCUUUUCUUCUGCUGCUGUUGAGUAGAUGAGGGUGCCAAGAAAUAAGACAGCAACACCAGGAAGAAGAACAAAUUUGGGGCACUGCUGCUGUACUGAGAAUACAGCUGUGAACAACAUCCCUGUCGCUUUCGUUCUAGAGAGGAAAAACAGGUAUGUUCAUUUCUUAUGGCUGCUGCAACAGAUUACGGCAAACUGGGUGGCUUCUAACAAUGGAAAUGUAUUCUCUUAUGGUUCUGAAGACCAGAAGCCCCAAAUCAAGAUGGCCCCAGUGCAGCACUCCCUCUGAAGGCGCUAGAGAAUUUGCUUCUGGCCUCUUUCAGCUUCUGGUAGCUGUCAGCAUUCCCUGACUGUGGGCCCGUCACUGUACUCUGUUCCCAUGGGCACAUUGCUUCCUCCUCUUAUGCCUGUGUUCUCUCCCUUUGCCUUCUUCUUAUAAGCACAUUUGUGAUGGCAUUUGGGGU